AUGUCCAGGAGGCUGAGCGAGGAGGGAGGCACGGCGGCCGUCGGCGAGCACCGCAUCGGGGACCUCCCGGACGACCUGAUGGCGUACCUGAUGUCGUUCCUGCCCUCGCGCGACUCCGUGCGGACGUGCGUGCUCGCCCGGCGCUGGCGCUCGCUCUGGAGGUCCGUGCCCGCCCUGCGCCUCGAGGACGACCCGCGGGGCGACGGCGGCCCCAGGAGCAAGUUCGUGGACGAGCUGCUGUGCCGCCGCCACCCGACACCUCUGAACCUAUGUGACAUCUGUUCCGAUUACGACACCUUUCACUGCGAGGAGGCGUUCACACGCAUCAAGCCGUGGCUCCGGUACGCCUUCUCGCAUGACGUUCGGACGCUGCGGGUCGUCGCUGGUUCGUUGACAACCAACCUGGUCCUCGUCUCGUCGCACCUGAAGAGGGUAGAGCUUUGCUUCAUGCAGUUUAAACGCUCUGUGGAUUUCACGGGCUGUCAGGUGCUCGAUGUGUUAGAGAUGAAAGGCUGUAACAUCCUUGCGAGCAUCUUGUGCCAGUCAGUACGACAUCUUACCAUCAAAGGGGGGUGUUUUGACGAUAAAACCCGCCGUCGUAUUGCUGCCCCAAAUCUCAUCAGCUUGAAACUAGCUCCAUACCAGGGUCUGACUCCGUUGCUUGAUAGCAUGCCAUCGCUGGUAACAGCAUCUGUUGAAUCCUUUGAUCAGCAGUAUCAUUACUGUUUUGAUGUACCAUGUGAAGGAUGCGAUAGGCAAGCAGGAUUUUGUGUGGUUUUGGAAGGCUUGUCUGAUGCUACAAAUUUGGAGUUAACAACUGAUGAUCAGUUAUCUAUUUUCAGAAUGGAUUUGAAAUGGUGCCCCAUGUUUAGCAAGCUCAAAUGCUUGUUGCUGAACAAAUGGUGUCUGGCUGGUGAUUUCACUGGAUUGAUUUACUUCCUCCAGCACUCACCAAUUCUACAGACGCUGACACUUCUGCUUGAUUUUCAAACUCACAAGAAAGGGCAUGUGAUGGAAACAUAUGACCCAAAGGAACAAUCACCACUAUCGAAGCAUCUCAAGGUAGUCAAAAUCAUAUGCAGCUCGACGAAGGAAGAUGUUAUAGUUGACCGUAUCCUAAAGAUCCUCUGUGCCCAUGGAGUGCCUUCCGAGCAAAUUGACAUCCAAUAG
rnacentral:rRNA from 1 species